rnacentral:rRNA from 1 species
UACGUAGGGUGCAAGCGUUGUCCGGAAUUACUGGGCGUAAAGAGCUCGUAGGCGGUUUGUCGCGUCGUCUGUGAAAACUCGAGGCUCAACCUCGAGCUUGCAGGCGAUACGGGCAGACUUGAGUACUGCAGGGGAGACUGGAAUUCCUGGUGUAGCGGUGAAAUGCGCAGAUAUCAGGAGGAACACCGGUGGCGAAGGCGGCUUUCUGGUCUGCUCUUGACGCUGAGGCGCGAAAGCUAGGGUAGCAAACGGG